AUUGAACGCUAGCGGGAUGCUUUACACAUGCAAGUCGAACGAGUGGCGGACGGGUGAGUAAUAUAUCGGAACGUGCCCCGUAGCGGGGGAUAACUCAUCGAAAGAGUGGAUAAUACCGCAUACUAUUGGAGCGCCCGAUCUCGGAUUAGCUAGUUGGUGGGGUAAAGGCUCACCAAGGCAACGAUCCGUAGAUGGUUUGAGAGGACGACCAGCCACACUGGGACUGUGACACGGCCCAGACUCCUACGGGAGGCAGCAGGGGGGAAUUGUGGAAAAUGGGGGAAACCCUGAUCCAGCCAUCCCGCGUGUAUGAGAAGGCCUUCGGGUUGUAAAGUACUUUUGGCAGAGAAGCGGUAUCUGCAGAAGAAGCACCGGCUAACUACGUGCCAGCAGCCGCGGUAAUUC
rnacentral:rRNA from 1 species